AAUAUUGCGCAAUGUGGUAAACCCUUACGCAGCUACCUCGUGUGUGCUACGAAGGCCUUCGGGUCGUAAAGCUCUUUCAAGAGGGACGUAUUCUAAUAAGUAAAUAGCUUAUUAGUUAACGGUACUAAUAAAGGAAGCCCCGCUUAACUACUUGCCAUCAGCCGCGGUAAUACGUAGGGGGCGAGCGUUGUCCGGAAUUACUGGGCGUAAAGGGCGUGUAGGCGGCUAAAUAAGUCAGGUGUGAAAACUGUGGGCUCAACCCAGAGAUUGCACCUGAAACUGUCUAGCUUGAGGGUAGGAGAGGAAAGUGGAAUUCCUAGUGUAGCGGUGAAAUGCGUAGAUAUUAGGAGGAACACCAGUGGCGAAGGCGACUUUCUGGCCUAACCCUGACGCUGAGGCGCGAAAGCGUGGGGAGCAAAC
rnacentral:rRNA from 1 species